GCCAGCGUAGCUCAGCCGGUAGAGCAAUGCUUUCGUAAAGCAGAGGUCGUGGGUUCGAAUCCCACCGCUGGCU
rnacentral:tRNA from 1 species